CCGACACACCGUAGAUUCAUAUAAAGUAUAAAAUAUUCCGAAAUCAACAGAUACUGCAUAGGAAGUUCGUUAUGCAGAUAUCUACCAGCUACAUAGCAUAUAUAAUCAGUGUGGAUCUAAAGGUUUUCAGAUUAUCAUAUUUUUCUCAUAAUAAAUAAAGGGGAUCAAUUAUGGAGCAUAUAUUGCGUGUACACAUAUGUCAUACAUUCUCAAUUCAUUAUUCUCGAAUAGAUGGGAAUUCCAUGCACCAGAAAAACUGAUAUGUUGCCAGAGGCUUAACGUAACAAGUUUCUGAAAUAAUGUGGAAC